UGGGGAAUUUUGGACAAUGGGCGAAAGCCUGAUCCAGCAAUGCCGCGUGUGUGAAGAAGACCUUCGGGUUGUAAAGCACUUUUGUCCGGAAAGAAAUCCUUGGCUCUAAUACAGUCGGGGGAUGACGGUACCGGAAGAAUAAGCACCGGCUAACUACGUGCCAGCAGCCGCGGUAAUACGUAGGGUGCAAGCGUUAAUCGGAAUUACUGGGCGUAAAGCGUGCGCAGGCGGUUUGCUAAGACCGAUGUGAAAUCCCCGGGCUCAACCUGGGAACUGCAUUGGUGACUGGCAGGCUAGAGUAUGGCAGAGGGGGGUAGAAUUCCACGUGUAGCAGUGAAAUGCGUAGAGAUGUGGAGGAAUACCGAUGGCGAAGGCAGCCCCCUGGGCCAAUACUGACGCUCAUGCACGAAAGCGUGGGGAGCAAACAGGAUUAGAUACCCUGGUAGUCCACGCCCUAAAACGAUGUCAACUAGUUGUUGGGGAUUCAUUUCCUUAGUAACGUAGCUAACGCGUGAAGUUGACCGCCUGGGGAGUACGGUCGCAAGAUUAAAACUUAAAUGAAUUGAC
rnacentral:rRNA from 1 species